rnacentral:lncRNA from 1 species
UGACAUACUUCAUAUAACUAGGUAGAAAAUAAAAUAUGGCCCUACAGAUAACCAAAGUUCUCCCAUCCGUACCUCUUGCAAGAAAAGUUCUUGCAACUUUUUAUUCUUCGUUGGAUCCCACAACUAAAAUAUUCAUAAAAUAUUCAACAAUGAGUAAUGAAGAUGCUCCAGGUAAAUGUAAUGCAGCAAUGGACCAUACUUUGGGAAAGUCCUGGGAAGAAGAGGAAGAAAGACCCUAGAAAAAGUGAGAAGAGACUCUUUAUCUGCUUUGGUUUAUUCAUGUGUAAAAUGAGAAUAGAGGCCAGGCACAGUGGCUCCCUCGUGUAAUCCCAACACUUCAGGAGGCCAAGGCCGGCAGACUGCUUGAGCUCAGGAGUUCAAGACCAGCCUGGGCAAUGUUGCGAAACCCAUCUCUGUAAAAGUACAAAAACUAGCCAGGCAUGGUGGUAUGCACCUGUAGUCCCAGCUAUUUAGGAGACUGAGGUGGGAGAAUCACCUAACCCCAAAAGGGUUGAGGCUGCAGUGAGCUGUGAUCAUUGCCACUGUACUCCAGCCUGGGCAACAGAGUGAGACCCUGUGUCAAAAAAAAAAAAAUUAGAAUAGAGUUGUGACAAUUAUAUGAAAGGACAUUUGAAAAUCCU